rnacentral:rRNA from 1 species
AGUGAACGCUGGCGGUAGGCCUAACACAUGCAAGUCGAACGGCAGCACAGUAAGAGCUUGCUCUUACGGGUGGCGAGUGGCGGACGGGUGAGGAAUACAUCGGAAUCUACUUUUUCGUGGGGGAUAACGUAGGGAAACUUACGCUAAUACCGCAUACGACCGACGGGUGAAAGCAGGGGAUCUUCGGACCUUGCGCGAUUGAAUGAGCCGAUGUCGGAUUAGCUAGUUGGCGGGGUAAAGGCCCACCAAGGCGACGAUCCGUAGCUGGUCUGAGAGGAUGAUCAGCCACACUGGAACUGAGACACGGUCCAGACUCCUACGGGAGGCAGCAGUGGGGAAUAUUGGGCAAUGGGCGCAAGCCUGAUCCAGCCAUACCGCGUGGGUGAAGAAGGCCUUCGGGUUGUAAAGCCCUUUUGUUGGGAAAGAAAAGCAGCAGGUUAAUACCCCGCUGUUCUGACGGUACCCAAAGAAUAAGCACCGGCUAACUUCGUG